AAUAGAUACCCGGGUAGUCCACGCCGUAAACGAUGAGUGCUAAGUGUUAGAGGGUUUCCGCCCUUUAGUGCUGCAGCUAACGCAUUAAGCACUCCGCCUGGGGAGUACGGCCGCAAGGCUGAAACUCAAAGGAAUUGACGGGGGCCCGCACAAGCGGUGGAGCAUGUGGUUUAAUUCGAAGCAACGCGAAGAACCUUACCAGGUCUUGACAUCCUCUGACAACCCUAGAGAUAGGGCUUUCCCCUUCGGGGGACAGAGUGACAGGUGGUGCAUGGUUGUCGUCAGCUCGUGUCGUGAGAUGUUGGGUUAAGUCCCGCAACGAGCGCAACCCUUGAUCUUAGUUGCCAGCAUUCAGUUGGGCACUCUAAGGUGACUGCCGGUGACAAACCGGAGGAAAGGUGGGGAUGACGUCAAAUCAUCAUGCCCCUUAUGACCUGGGCUACACACGUGCUACAAUGGAUGGUACAAAGGGCUGCAAACCUGCGAAGGUAAGCGAAUCCCAUAAAGCCAUUCUCAGUUCGGAUUGCAGG
rnacentral:rRNA from 1 species